CUCACAGCCUUCUUUUGUUCUUCUUCUGCAAAUGCUCCAGAUCUUCGAAACUUCAGAAGUUCAGAUAAAUUGGAACAAAAUUAAAUAAUGUUAAAACUGCUGCUCAGAAUCAACUCUCAGUUACAGACGAUCAUGUCAAUUCCACUGAUCAGUUUCAGUUCAUAAAUAAAGAGAUAUAAUUCCAUCUCAAUGGUGAUAUGGGCGAUUCAACUUUACUGCUUUGGAGGUGGAUGAUAUCCAGAGAGAAUAACAUAAAUGGAGAGUAUCUGGAACACAUGCUCAAAAGAAACUAAUGAAAAGGCACACAACCUUGACUCAUUCUAUUACAAACCGUUACUUGCAUGCACAGAGCUAAAAUGGUUGCGUUUCAUGCAGGUUAGGUUUUACAUUGGGCCACUGAAAUUUAAUGUUUUGAAGAGUGUACUAUUAUUUCUUAAGUUUCACGCAUUCGUAUACAUUUCAGAACAUAAGGAAAUGUCUUUUAAACCUUUUGUUGAAUUCCAACCAGUGACUGAGUUAUGUGAACAUCUUUGUUUGUAGUUUUCUUUUCUUUGCAGAUGUUGAUCGCACAUUAGCUUUGAUUUUACAUUCAUGUAUAGAUUUUAUUCCAGUAUUAUCUUAGGUGUAGGUCAAUUGCUCCAGUUACGUUGAAUGUGAAUAUAGUCCAUUUUAUUCUGUUUGUGGGGUUGCAAAUUAUACAUGACAAAUGACUCAAUCAUAAAGAAAAGGGAUGCGGUGAUUUCAUUUACAUUUGUGCUGGAACAUAAGUAAUUCCAUCUUAAAUUUGAACAUUUCAAUUAAUUCACGAAGUGCAAAUCUAUAUUCAUUGUUCUUUCGCAUUAUUAGUUAAGUAUACUGAUUGUUUAGGAUAUGAAAGACAGGUCAAUUUCAAUAAAUGAACCGGGACAGUAAAAACGUGCAAGCAGAGAGGAUUCUUCACAAAAUGAAAUGAUGUAGUCAAAGCAGAACAACUCGCAACUCAUAUACUUUUUGUCAUAUUCAGGCUAUUCAUCUUAAAGAGAAUCCUACCUCUCAGAUUUCGCUUCUCACAAAGAUGAAGGAAUUCACGAUCAAGAAGAUGAUGAAACGACGUGACCACAGUAACAAAAUUCUAAAUAAUAUAACAUGAUGUCUAGCAAAGGCACGACCAGAACAAAAAGUUGUGCUUUGUGGUUGUAAUCUGAAGUAGUUCAAAGGGUUUGUUGAAGGAGUGAAGAUUUAGACAUUCUAUUUCAUUUUAUUUUUGGGCACUGGAGAUGGACUAUCUAUGCAGAUUGAUAAUUCAAACCUCUCAUCGAGUCGCAUUUGGAGAGCGUUACAAGGUUUCUGGAGCCUAUUUAUGAAAUGGGAUUGCUAAGUUUGGUUUGCAAGACCUAGAACAGGUACUCGUACUCUUGCUGGUUUUUGAACUAUAUUUUCGUACUCUGGAGAAUUUCUAUCCUAUAGUGGGUCAGUCUGGCAAGUAUCUUCAAUUUCGUUUUAUUAAAAAUGUAAGAUUUGUUUCUCGUGGACAGUGAAAUCCUUGUUCGUUUAUGCAUUCAACAUCAGUAGCUUAUUCACCUAUCUUACAAUUAACUUUAAUACUAUGUUCACAUACAGUCCCAUUUUCCCUGAGUUUAUUAGCUUAUAUUUGCACUCAGUUUGGGUUUAGAACACUAAAGCAUCUCACUCUCUGGAGACCAAUUUUGGAGUGUUUCUAGGCAGUGAAGAAUAAAGUUAGUUUAAUCUAUGGAGAAGUUGCACGUUCAUCUUUGAUCAGACAUCCCUUAAACAGUGGAGGAGCUUAACAGGAGCAGAACUUGAUGGUUCAGUGAGGGAUUUUUCUCCACCUGGACAUAGUCUCCAGAUGAGAAGUAAUCUGCACUCAUUGCUUGAUGGUUCAGAUGUAACAAAAGCGUCGGGGCUUACCAAAUGUAUAGCAGAAAGUUCUAUAAUCUAUGCAAUACCUUAGUUGCAAAUGAAUUUUAUCUUUAAGACAUUGUAGUAUGGGUGCUGAUUAUCUAGCCUUUGGGUUGAAACAAUUAAUUUUGUGGUAUGAAAUUUUCAGCUAUAA